CCUACGGGGGGCAGCAGUGAGGAAUAUUGGUCAAUGGACGAGAGUCUGAACCAGCCAAGUAGCGUGAAGUAUGACUGCCCUAUGGGUUGUAACCUUCUUUUAUAUGGGAAUAAAAUGUUCCACGUGUGGGAUUUUGUAUGUACCAUAUGAAUAAGGAUCGGCUAACUCCGUGCCAGCAGCCGCGGUAAUAUGGAGGAUCCGAGCUUUAUCCGGAGUUAUUGGGUUUAAAGGGAGCGUAGGUGGAUUGUUAAGUCAGUUGUGAAAGUUUGCGGCUCAACCGUAAAAUUGCAGUUGAAACUGGCAGUCUGGAGGACAGUAGAGGUGGGCGGAAGUCGUGGUGUAGCGGUGAAAUGAUUAGAUAGCACGAAGAACUCCGAUUGCGAAGGCAGCUCACUGGACUGCAACUGACACUGAGGCUCGAAAGUGUGGGUAUCAAACAGGAUUAGAUACCCUGGUAGUC
rnacentral:rRNA from 1 species